CAGAUUCACAAGCUUUAAUCAUUACUUUUUCUGUUAUACAUUGAAUUGUGGAUGUCCUUUAAUUAGUAAAACAGCCACUAAAAUUGUUUUUAUGGUUUGCUAUCACAAAAGUCGAAGGAUUGCUAGAAUGCUGUUUACCUGUUUCAACAGCUCCCAUCAACUACCGCUACUCACUUUACAUAGAAAUAAAAACAGCUACUAUUCAUUGAGCCUAUUUCUAUAUGGGAAUCUUAGUGUCCUCACACACAUUAAUUCACUCAAUUCUCCCCAAACUCUAUGAGGUAAACUAUUAUGCCCAUUUUAGACUCAAAUGUCAAAACCAUAUAUGCAUUUUGUUCCACUGACCCCAAGUGGUAACUGUGAGUAGUAGUUCUAACAAUGAGGCAUUUUUUAAAAAGUCCUAUUAAUGUUUACCUAUAAUUUAACCUAUAAGGAUAAACCCAUACCCCCAUUGAACAUGGUACUUUUUUCCAUUUAUUGUCUAAUAUGUGGCACACAGUAAAUGAACAAUCUCAAUCCUUAAAACAGGUGUUAUGACUUUUACAUAUGACAAAACCACAGAGUAAAUAGCAGAACAUCUCGAACCUGCCCAAUAAUUUGCCUCCUAACAGAGGUGUGUACGGCCUGACCUUUGUACACCUCAAAAAUGGCAACAUGGGAGAAGUAAUUCCAUCAUUCAUCCACACACAGCAGAGAGGUACAAGUACUAACAGAAGCUGAUCUCUCAUAUUAACGUAUGUAUUUGUUCCUUGUCCCGUCUUCAGGAACCAAUAAAAAUAAAGUGAGCUCCGAGAGAGUGGAAAUCUGGUUGGCCUCAUUCACAGCUCUACUCCUAUCACUUUGUACAGAGCCUGGCAUAGACAGCUGUUCAAUAAAUACUGGGGACAAAAUAAAGUCCAUGUGGGAAAAUGGGCCAGCCGCUACCAAGGAUGAAGACAUACAAUAUAUACAUAUAUUUUUGGGGAAGACUUCAAUUCCGACUCACAGGAAAGAUGAAUCCAAAGAUGUGAAAUCUGUACUGGGAUCUUUUUUGUGGGGUCUGUGAGCCAGGAUGAAAUUUGCUGAGGAUGAAAUAAAUAGGAGUGUCAAUUAAGGGCAGAAGAUGAUUACUAGUGUUAACUUUUCAAUGUGGAUUCCUGGUCUGAAAUGUGUUUCCCCCUGCACUUACAUAUUUGGUCCUAUCUUUCCUUACAUGUUUAUUAAAGCAAUAUUGUGCCAUUAGGCAAUGCAACUCCCAAAGACAUUACUGGAAUGAGGUCAUUGCUUCAGGCUAGUGGGAGAAUAUAAGAGAGUUCAAACAGGUUAUUUGUUGGGUAAGAACCCCUAAAAGCAAGAGGUUUUUGUUUUGUUUGAAAGCAAAGUCAAACCGAUUCUCAAAGUGAAUAUGAUAUGAUGAAGACAGGAUCAUUAUGAAGCUAGAAACUUGACAACAUCACUUUAAAAGCUCAAGCAUAUGUAACCCACGACUAAAGGCGCUGCAAUGUUAUGCAAUAUGACUGUCAGGGGAACGAAUUUCCAACCUCAUGACUCACUUAUUGAACGUUUCCUUCAUUAAAAAAAAAAUAUGAACAUAAAAGUGCUAUAUAAAGAUAUCUGAUAUCCAAAGCAUGAAAGCACAGCAGCUACUAGGCUAGGAAGAAUCUCAAGUUGACAUCGUGCCAUCAGAGCCACCCUUCCAAGACGGAAAGUUACUCCACUUUUUGAAAAAUAUGGCCGCAGACACUUCCUGCCCCGAGCUCAGCUCGAUCCGACGGUAUCUUCCCAGAACUUGGUCCUGAGUGCUCACAAACUGGCAGCAGCACGGCCUGGAUGUUGGGCAGGACGCCGCCCUGAGCGAUGGUCACUUUGCCCAGCAGCUUGUUUAACUCCUCGUCGUUGCGGAUGGCGAGCUGCAGGUGGCGGGGAAUUAUCCUGGUCUUCUUGUUGUCACGCGCGGCGUUGCCAGCCAGCUCCAGGAUCUCCGCCGUAAGGUACUCCAACACCGCCGCCAGGUACACCGGCGCCCCGGCGCCCACUCGCUCCGCGUAGUUCCCUUUGCGCAGCAGUCUGUGCACUCGGCCCACCGGGAACUGCAGGCCCGCGCGGGAGGAGCGGGAUUUGGCCUUUGCUCGCACUUUGCCGCCCUGUUUCCCGCGACCGGACAUGAUCACCUCUCGCCUACAACUCCAGAGACGGAGACAAACCGCUCUCGGCGUCCGGUACCGGAAUGC
rnacentral:lncRNA from 1 species